CAGGCUCAGGAUGAACGCUGGCGGCGUGCCUAAUACAUGCAAGUCGAACGAGUUCUGAUUAUUGAAAGGUGCUUGCAUCUUGAUUUAAUUUUGAACGAGUGGCGGACGGGUGAGUAACACGUGGGUAACCUGCCCUUAAGUGGGGGAUAACAUUUGGAAACAGAUGCUAAUACCGCAUAAAUCCAAGAACCGCAUGGUUCUUGGCUGAAAGAUGGCGUAAGCUAUCGCUUUUGGAUGGACCCGCGGCGUAUUAGCUAGUUGGUGAGGUAACGGCUCACCAAGGCAAUGAUACGUAGCCGAACUGAGAGGUUGAUCGGCCACAUUGGGACUGAGACACGGCCCAAACUCCUACGGGAGGCAGCAGUAGGGAAUCUUCCACAAUGGACGCAAGUCUGAUGGAGCAACGCCGCGUGAGUGAAGAAGGCUUUCGGGUCGUAAAACUCUGUUGUUGGAGAAGAAUGGUCGGCAGAGUAACUGUUGUCGGCGUGACGGUAUCCAACCAGAAAGCCACGGCUAACUACGUGCCAGCAGCCGCGGUAAUACGUAGGUGGCAAGCGUUAUCCGGAUUUAUUGGGCGUAAAGCGAGCGCAGGCGGUUUUUUAAGUCUGAUGUGAAAGCCCUCGGCUUAACCGAGGAAGUGCAUCGGAAACUGGGAAACUUGAGUGCAGAAGAGGACAGUGGAACUCCAUGUGUAGCGGUGAAAUGCGUAGAUAUAUGGAAGAACACCAGUGGCGAAGGCGGCUGUCUGGUCUGUAACUGACGCUGAGGCUCGAAAGCAUGGGUAGCGAACAGGAUUAGAUACCCUGGUAGUCCAUGCCGUAAACGAUGAAUGCUAGGUGUUGGAGGGUUUCCGCCCUUCAGUGCCGCAGCUAACGCAUUAAGCAUUCCGCCUGGGGAGUACGACCGCAAGGUUGAAACUCAAAGGAAUUGACGGGGGCCCGCACAAGCGGUGGAGCAUGUGGUUUAAUUCGAAGCAACGCGAAGAACCUUACCAGGUCUUGACAUCUUUUGAUCACCUGAGAGAUCAGGUUUCCCCUUCGGGGGCAAAAUGACAGGUGGUGCAUGGUUGUCGUCAGCUCGUGUCGUGAGAUGUUGGGUUAAGUCCCGCAACGAGCGCAACCCUUAUGACUAGUUGCCAGCAUUUAGUUGGGCACUCUAGUAAGACUGCCGGUGACAAACCGGAGGAAGGUGGGGAUGACGUCAAAUCAUCAUGCCCCUUAUGACCUGGGCUACACACGUGCUACAAUGGAUGGUACAACGAGUUGCGAGACCGCGAGGUCAAGCUAAUCUCUUAAAGCCAUUCUCAGUUCGGACUGUAGGCUGCAACUCGCCUACACGAAGUCGGAAUCGCUAGUAAUCGCGGAUCAGCACGCCGCGGUGAAUACGUUCCCGGGCCUUGUACACACCGCCCGUCACACCAUGAGAGUUUGUAACACCCGAAGCCGGUGGCGUAACCCUUUUAGGGAGCGAGCCGUCUAAGGUGGGACAAAUGAUUAGGGUG
rnacentral:rRNA from 2 species